GAUGAACGCUGGCGGCGUGCUUAACACAUGCAAGUCGAGCGAAGCAGUUAAGAAGAUUCUUCGGAUGAUUCUUAACUGACUGAGCGGCGGACGGGUGAGUAACGCGUGGGUGACCUGCCCCAUACCGGGGGAUAACAGCUGGAAACGGCUGCUAAUACCGCAUAAGCGCACAGAGCUGCAUGGCUCGGUGUGAAAAACUCCGGUGGUAUGGGAUGGGCCCGCGUCUGAUUAGGCAGUUGGCGGGGUAACGGCCCACCAAACCGACGAUCAGUAGCCGGCCUGAGAGGGCGACCGGCCACAUUGGGACUGAGACACGGCCCAAACUCCUACGGGAGGCAGCAGUGGGGAAUAUUGCACAAUGGGGGAAACCCUGAUGCAGCGACGCCGCGUGAGCGAAGAAGUAUUUCGGUAUGUAAAGCUCUAUCAGCAGGGAAGAUAAUGACG
rnacentral:rRNA from 1 species